AAACGUCCCAGUUCGGACUGUAGUCUGCAACCCGACUACACGAAGCUGGAAUCGCUAGUAAUCGCGAAUCAGAAUGUCGCGGUGAAUACGUUCCCGGGUCUUGUACACACCGCCCGUCACACCAUGAGAGUCGGGAACACCCGAAGUCCGUAGCCUAACCGCAAGGGGGGCGCGGCCGAAGGUGGGUUCGAUAAUUGGGGUGAAGUCGUAACAAGGUAGC
rnacentral:rRNA from 1 species